AUUUGCUUCUCUAUUUAAUUCAUCUCCUGUUGUGUUUCUUUCUUGCUGUCAUCUGAUGUUUGUAUUCUAUCCACAUAUCUUCCAGGUUACUGUCUAAAGUCUAUGCAGAAUGAAAGAAAAUUCUGACUAACUGCUGAGUGGGCCCUUCAGCUCAAAUUAAAUCACCCUGUGGUAUCAGAAAGAACCAAUUCUAAAGAGCAUCUAGAAUGUGUGACUUCCUAUUUUCUCCUUUUUCCAGAACAGGGCUAAUGGAGAGAAAUGAAACUGUGCUUUGUCAAGAGAGUCGUCAUCUGCUUCUUCAGGUGAUGGAAAGCAUGUUGUAGGCUGUACUUCAAGUGCUGCAAAAAAGAAUGGCACAAUCCCCAUUGUAACUGAUGAUGAUAAGUCAGAUUUAUCCUUGCUUUUGUUGCUUCUCCGAAGCUAGUAGAAGUGCACUUGUAAAGAAUUUUUUUCCAUUCCCCAAGGCUCCAGAAGAAUAAUAGAAACAAACUUCUGUCCUAGCCAUUGAUGAGUCCCUGACCGUUGCCGACCCACAGAACCUGAGAUGAUACCUUACUACAUGAACUGGAGCUCUUAUUUGGCUGCUCUUUGCAUGCAGAACUCUAUUCCUUUCAGCUAAGCAAUCGAAGGGGCUCUGCCUGAAUUAAGUCAUGGGAUCACAUUGUAUUUAACUGCUUUGCUUGACUAACAUCUCCCUGAGGGAAUUUCAACAAGGGAGACUACUUCCAUUGCCACCAGGAUUUUAAGCAAGACUAGACAUAUAGGCUGUAUAUCUUGUGGAUUGAGGGGAGAUGGAGGAAGGAGGAGAGAGAAGAGCAAAGGACAGGGAUGUGGGG
rnacentral:lncRNA from 1 species